GCUUACGGCCAUACCACCCUGAGCGCGCCCGAUCUCGUCUGAUCUCGGAAGCUAAGCAGGGUCGGGCCUGGUUAGUACUUGGAUGGGGAGACCGCCUCGGGAAGUACCAGGUCGUCGUGUAAGCU
rnacentral:rRNA from 1 species